UGCGUAGGCGGAAAAUUAAGUCAGUGGUGAAAUCCUGCAGCUCAACUGUAGAACUGUCAUUGAUACUGAUUUUCUUGAAUUUAGUUGAGGUAGGCCGAAUGUGUAAUGUAGCGGUGAAAUGCUUAGAUAUUACACAGAACACCGAUUGCGAAGGCAGCUUACUAAGCUAACAUUGACGCUGAGGCACGAAAGCGUGGGGAGCGAACAGGAUUAGAUACCCUGGUAGUCC
rnacentral:rRNA from 1 species